GUCUGCUCCAUGCCAGACUGACAUGCGAAAUGGACCGUUGGUUGCUUUCCUGGAGCCGAGGGUCCUCGCCAGUACCGGGGGGGCUCCUGGUGUCCUAGUGUCAGCCUGUGAAGACAGUUCUUUGCCCAGUUUCAGGCGAUCAGACUAAGUGUUGUUCACAUCUUCCAUCCGGUGUCGCCGAAGUGCACGAGGCUGGCUUGAAAAUCAAGGUAACCGCUGCAUGCUUCCCAAGCCAUCGACAUGCACUGGCUUCACGAAGUCCUCUAAGGUCACCGCGGCAAGGGAGUUCACCCCUGACGAUACCGUGCUGGCAACAAAAACAACAACAAAAUUGUUUAAAAAAUAAAUAAAAAUGAACUUGCUUGGUCUUAAUCACAUUCUUUAAGAUAAUGUGAAGUAUAUUGUAAUGCACUGGGAAGUAUAAUGUAAAGUAUAAUUAAAUGUUUCUAAAACCA